GUAUAGUAGUAUGGUUACCCUUCAAACUAUGGACACCAUCUUCUACAAAGCACAAAGGCAAGGAAUAGUUUCCUUCUAUCUCACCUCAUAUGGAGAAAAGGCUAUCAUCUCUAGAGACAUUUUAUGUAGUAGACAUAGCAUAGAAUGCAAAUAAAUAUAUAGAGAUAGCAAGCAAAUGCUUGUGCUGUUUGGAGCUUAUAUUAUAUAUGAACAUUUUUAAUUAUUUUAUAAAAAAUAAUCAAUUGAACAAGUGGAAGAAGACUUGACUAAGGAGUUUAAACCAUAGUCUAAGUAAUAUUUUUGGCAAAUUGAAAGGUCACAAUGAGUAAAAAUGAGUGUUGCUACUAUUUUUGGAGUGUUGCUACUGUAGAAAAUGAGUAUUGCUGCUACUGUUAGUUGCUAGUUGCUGCUGCAGAAAUGGAGUGCUGCUAGCUGCUGCAAAAAUGGAGUGUUGCUAGCUGCUGUUGUUGCUGCUGUUAGUUGCUACUAGUUGCUAGAUAUGGAAAGCUCUACCUUGUGCUGUUCUUUGGAUCAAUUUGGAUGAACACAGAGGUGGCAAUAUGGAUGAAGACUCUCUCCCUGGGCAGGUUCUACUCUGUGCAUAACUUUGUGGCAAAUCUACAGCAGGUAAAGAAGUCCAUUGGGUUAGGUAGAUGAGUUUGAGUUGGGUGUUUGGAAAUGUGAUUAGUUUGUUUUGCUGAAGAAGUUUGUUCUGAUCUUACCUCUAGAAAAUAGGCCUAAGGACGAAAUUUGUGUCAAGCGAAGAAGAUUGUGGAUUGGGGUUGUGGAUUUGGCCAUUUACGCAGCUUCCGUUGAACCAUUGUUUGCUUAUUUUCUGUAAAGAAGCUCGAAAAAUACCUUGAUGACUUCAAUUUUGCUCUGAAUUUGAUAUUUUUUUUUUAGUGGAAUUCUUGUGAUUUUGGGUUUGCUUCAAUCUCGUUUUACAUCGAGUCAAUUAAUUGAUUCCCAAGAGCAGAGGAUAGAGUUUCUCAUCGUUCUUCUGGUUCUGUUAUCAUUGGACUGCAGAGGAGGCUAUGGCAUCGAUUGAAUCAACAUUUUCGUUGGAUGUCAAUCCAAAAUUGGAUUGAUAAUGAUUGGCAUGGUACAUAGAUCACCUUCUAUCGUGUUACAUAUAUGACCAUUUGUCCACGUACAUAUAUGACCUUUUGUCGUGGUCUAUAGAAAAAAUUUUGUCGUGGUACAUAGAUCACAUUCUGUCGUGAUACAUAUAUGACCAUUUGUCGACGUACAUAUAUGACCUUUUGUCAAGGUCUAUUAAAAAACUUUUGUUGUAGUACAUAGAUCUCCUUUUGUCGUGGUACAGAUUACUAUGGUAAUUUAUACCAUGCCAAAAUUUAAUUUCGCUUGGUAGUAAAUAUAAUUUUUGUA